rnacentral:misc_RNA from 2 species
AACGCACCUUGCGCCCCUUGGCUAUUCCGAGGGGCAUGCCUGUUUGAGUAUCAUGAACACCUCAACUCUCAUGGUUUGCCAUGAUGAGCUUGGAUUUUGGGGGUUUUGCUGGCCUGUGGUCAGCUCCUCUCAAAUGGAUCAGCUUACCAGUAUUUGGUGGCAUCACAGGUGUGAUAACUAUCUACGCUUGUGGCUGUCUGCUGAGUAACCUUUGGUGACAGAGGUUCGCUGGAGCUUAUAAAUGUCUUUCCUCAGUGAAGACAGCUUUUUGACCGUUCGAUCUCAAAUCAGGUAGGACUACCCGCUGAACUUAA